rnacentral:lncRNA from 10 species
AGGGGAUCCCAAGAGAAAGAGGAACAGAAAAGGGGAGGAGGAGGAAAAGAAGGGAGCGGGGAGGAAGGGAGAGAGAGUGUUCCCUGCGUCAACAAUUUAUUCAUUCCACAAACAUUUCUAAGUGUCCAUGGUGACCCAGACAUCAUGGGAACUUCAGGGUUCCAGAGCUGAGUAGAACACAACUCCCAUCCUUAGGGAUUCACCAUCCAGUAGAGGAGAAAGACGUCGAGACAGAAGACAGAAGGGAAAGGAAAAGCUCAAUGCUGUGCCUUCAACUUAGCUUCUCCAUUUUUUGGAGAAGGGUUAAUAGGGGAAGCAGAGAGAGAGAGAUGAGAGACCAAAGUUUCUAGGGCCUUUAUCUCCAGAGCAGAGGGUCUGAAACCUUAGUGAGCAAAAACUGAUCCGGAAGACUUGUUGGAGGCAUACCUUCCAGUUCAGCGAGCCAUUUCAGCAGAUUGGAGAUCCCCUGCCUGCAGCACGUGCUGAUCUCCAAGGGUGAGGCUGGAUGAAGCCAGGGGCUAUGGAAAGGGAGACUGUUUCAGAGGACUUGACACCAUCUUCAGUAAUUUCUCUGGUUCUUGGCAGCUCCAUUUGGCUGCGUCCCUACCCUGCAUAACCCUCCCAGCUAGUCUACUCCAGGGCAGCAUCCAGCUGGUGACCUGAGAGGGCAGUGGCGCACCAGUCUCCAUGAAGGUUGAGCUCCGAUGGCCAACAGCCAUUUCCACCUUGUGGUCUACAACUCUUCAUCCCGACUGCAUGGAGGUUGGUCUCUCUCUUCAGCUGGAUUUAGGCCACCAUCUGAGCCCCCGGGGUACGUUUUGUCUGACCCUGGCGCCAUUCGAACGGUUCUUCUACAGCAUCAGGCGUUCACCUGGCUCCUAGGGCUUUUGUGCUGUAGGCCUAUAUUUCCAGCUACUUUUGGAAAAAAUCUCUCUGGAGGCUCAAUGAGCUUGUCACAUCAGCCUGCCCAGAGUAUCAAGAAAGACUUAAUCAGC